GACGAACGCUGGCGGUAGGCUUAACACAUGCAAGUCGAGCGCGUAGCAAUACGAGCGGCAGACGGGUGAGUAACGCGUGGGAACGUGCCUUUUGGUUCGGAACAACUGAGGGAAACUUCAGCUAAUACCGGAUAAGCCCCGAGGGGGAAAGAUUUAUCGCCAAAAGAUCGGCCCGCGUCAGAUUAGGUAGUUGGUGGGGUAAUGGCCUACCAAGCCGACGAUCUGUAGGUGGUCUGAGAGGAUGAUCACCCACACUGGGACUGAGACACGGCCCAGACUCCUACGGGGGGCAGCAGUGGGGAAUAUUGGACAAUGGGCGCAAGCCUGAUCCAGCCAUGCCGCGUGGAUGAAGAAGGCCCUAGGGUUGUAAAGUCCUUUCGACGGAGACGAUAAUGACGGUAUCCGUAGAAGAAGCCCCGGCUAAUUUCGUGCCAGCCGCCGCGGUAA
rnacentral:rRNA from 1 species